GUUGAGCGAUUCUCUUCGGAGAAGAGCGGCGGACGGGUGAGUACCGUGUGGGUAACCUGCCCUAUACACACGGAUAACAUACCGACAGGUAUGCUAAUACGGGAUAACAUGAGAGAUUCGCAUGGAUUUCUUAUCAAAGCUCCGGCGGUAUAGGAUGGACCCGCGUCUGAUUAGCUAGUUGGUGAGGUAACGGCUUACCAAGGCGACGAUCAGUAGCCGACCUGAGAGGGUGAUCGGCCACAUUGGAACUGAGACACGGUCCAAACUCCUACGGGAGGCAGCAGUGGGGAAUAUUGCACAAUGGGCGAAAGCCUGAUGCAGCAACGCCGCGUGAGCGAUGAAGGCCUUCGGGUCGUAAAGCUCUGUCCUCAAGGAAGAUAAUGACGGUACUUGAGGAGGAAGCCCUGGCUAACUACGUGCCAGCAGCCGCGGUAAUACGUAGGGGGCUAGCGUUAUCCGGAAUUACUGGGCGUAAAGGGUGCGUAGGUGGUUUCUUAAGUCAGAGGUGAAAGGCUACGGCUCAACCGUAGUAAGCCUUUGAAACUGAGAAACUUGAGUGCAGGAGAGGAGAGUAGAAUUCCUAGUGUAGCGGUGAAAUGCGUAGAUAUUAGGAGGAAUACCAGUUGCGAAGGCGGCUCUCUGGACUGUAACUGACACUGAGGCACGAAAGCGUGGGGAGCAAACAGGAUUAGAUACCCUGGUAGUCCACGCCGUANACGAUGAGUACUAGCUGUCGGAGGUUACCCCCUUCGGUGGCNCAGCUAACGCAUUAAGUACUCCGCCUGGGAAGUACGC
rnacentral:rRNA from 1 species